AACUCACAACUGGAUGAGAUUAAUGAAAAGGAAAGAGAAUACUUAUUUUCUUUAAACUGUAUGUGUUAGAACAGCAAAGUUUUAAAUGUCCUCCUGCACUUGAAAGCAUCGCUUUGUUUUCGUGACCCCACGUAAAGAAGAGUGCCUAAGCUCAACAGCCAAUCAGGAGCCACGCAGGCCCCGUUCAGCCUGUCCGCCCAGAGGUGAGCGCAUGCGUGUUUUCCUUCCGCUCUGUCUGACUGCAGCCGCGAGUGUGAGAGCAGCUACCUGCUAAGAGGACGAGGAAAAGAGGAGAAAAUCUGGUUAAAAGAGGAAAAUAAAGCCAGCUAACUUACCUGCUGUGAGUCUGGAGCCGAACAACUCAGUGAUAGGAAACGAGUUACGUCGGCUAGCUCCUUACCUUCCAUGUGGUGAGACGUUAUAAGCCCCGAAGUUGAUGUGCUCAGCUUUGAACACACAGAACAACGGUCAGGUUUUUUGAGUGGACAAGAAUCCAAGGACCGGGACAGAAUCCCGAUCAUGUCAGAUGGCGAGCUAAAGAACCCUGGAGAAGAACCACCGAAGGAGAUACACACGUACUCUCUCACACAUACAUUCGCAUUACAUGAACUUUUGAAACACAGGUGCACCUACAAAGACUUUCUUAGUUUAUACGGGCCCCAACGGACAAUCUUAGGUAAUUUUAUAUAUGUGUGCGCACUUUUCUUUCG